rnacentral:rRNA from 1 species
UGGAUAAGACAUGCAAGUCGAACGAUCACUAUUGGGUAGCAAUAUUCGGUAGUGGGAGUGGCGCAAGGGUGCGUAACACGUGGGUAAUUUGCCGUAAAGUCUGGGAUAACUUGCUGAAAGGCGAGCUAAUACCGGAUGUGAUUGCUGGAGGGCAUCCUCUGGCACUUAAAGUCGGGGACCGUAAGGCCUGACACUUUUCGAUAAGCCCGCGGCCUAUCAGCUAGUUGGUGAGGUAACGGCUCACCAAGGCUAAGACGGGUAGCUGGUCUGAGAGGACGACCAGCCUCACUGGAACUGAGACACGGUCCAGACACCUACGGGUGGCAGCAGUCGAGAAUUUUUCUCAAUGGGGGAAACCCUGAAGGAGCGACGCCGCGUGGGGGAUGAAUGGCUUCGGCCCGUAAACCCC